UUUNGUGCUUAGAUGGCCUCUCAGAUGGU
rnacentral:piRNA from 1 species